AUGUUCAUUAAUUGUUGAUUGUUUUCAACUAACCACAAAGACAUAGGAACGCUAUACCUGCUAUUCAGCACAUGGGCAGGGAUACUAGGCACCGCCUUAAGCCUUCUAAUUCAAGCAGAAUUAGGCCAACCAGGAACUCUGCUAGGGGAUGAUCAGAUCUACAAUGUUACUGUUACCGCCCACACAUUCAUUAUGAUCUUCUUUCUGGUAAUACCAGUCAUAAUUGGGGGAUUCAGCAACUGAUUAGUCCCUCUGAUAAUUGGUGCACCCAACAUGGCAUUCCCCCGAAUAAAUAAUAUGAGUUUCUGACUUCUUCCCCCAUCUUUUCUGCUUCCACUUGCAUCCUCAAUAGUAGAAGCUGGCACUGGAACCAGCUGAACAGUUUAUCCCCCUUUAGCAGGAAAUCUAGCACAUGAAGAAGCCUCUGUGGAUCUGACCAUCUUCUUGCUCCACUUGGCAGGUGUUUCUUCUAUCUUAGGGGCCAUUAACUUUAUUACCACAAUGACUCUUUUUUCACUAGGAAAGUAUUUC
rnacentral:lncRNA from 1 species